rnacentral:rRNA from 1 species
AAAGCCUCUAAGCAUCAGGUAACAUCAAAUCGUACCCCAAACCGACACAGGUGGUCAGGUAGAGAAUACCAAGGCGCUUGAGAGAACUCGGGUGAAGGAACUAGGCAAAAUGGUGCCGUAACUUCGGGAGAAGGCACGCUGAUAUGUAGGUGAAGCGACUUGCUCGUGGAGCUGAAAUCAGUCGAAGAUACCAGCUGGCUGCAACUGUUUAUUAAAAACACAGCACUGUGCAAACACGAAAGUGGACGUAUACGGUGUGACGCCUGCCCGGUGCCGGAAGGUUAAUUGAUGGGGUUAGCGGUAACGCGAAGCUCUUGAUCGAAGCCCCGGUAAACGGCGGCCGUAACUAUAACGGUCCUAAGGUAGCGAAAUUCCUUGUCGGGUAAGUUCCGACCUGCACGAAUGGCGUAAUGAUGGCCAGGCUGUCUCCACCCGAGACUCAGUGAAAUUGAACUCGCUGUGAAGAUGCAGUGUACCCGCGGCAAGACGGAAAGACCCCGUGAACCUUUACUAUAGCUUGACACUGAACAUUGAGCCUUGAUGUGUAGGAUAGGUGGGAGGCUUUGAAGUGUGGACGCCAGUCUGCAUGGAGCCGACCUUGAAAUACCACCCUUUAAUGUUUGAUGUUCUAACGUUGGCCCGUAAUCCGGGUUGCGGACAGUGUCUGGUGGGUAGUUUGACUGGGGCGGUCUCCUCCUAAAGAGUAACGGAGGAGCACGAAGGUUGGCUAAUCCUGGUCGGACAUCAGGAGGUUAGUGCAAUGGCAUAAGCCAGCUUGACUGCGAGCGUGACGGCGCGAGCAGGUGCGAAAGCAGGUCAUAGUGAUCCGGUGGUUCUGAAUGGAAGGGCCAUCGCUCAACGGAUAAAAGGUACUCCGGGGAUAACAGGCUGAUACCGCCCAAGAGUUCAUAUCGACGGCGGUGUUUGGCACCUCGAUGUCGGCUCAUCACAUCCUGGGGCUGAAGUAGGUCCCAAGGGUAUGGCUGUUCGCCAUUUAAAGUGGUACGCGAGCUGGGUUUAGAACGUCGUGAGACAGUUCGGUCCCUAUCUGCCGUGGGCGCUGGAGAACUGAGGGGGGCUGCUCCUAGUACGAGAGGACCGGAGUGGACGCAUCACUGGUGUUCGGGUUGUCAUGCCAAUGGCACUGCCCGGUAGCUAAAUGCGGAAGAGAUAAGUGCUGAAAGCAUCUAAGCACGAAACUUGCCCCGAGAUGAGUUCUCCCUGACUCCUUGAGGGUCCUGAAGGAACGUUGAAGACGACGACGUUGAUAGGCCGGGUGUGUAAGCGCAGCGAUGCGUUGAGCUAACCGGUACUAAUGAACCGUGAGGCUUAACCUUACAACGCCGAAG